ensembl:lncRNA
GGGUGGACCCUAGGGGAACAAGUGGAUUUCUCCAACCUGUCAGUCCCUCUCACCUUUCCUGUUUCUCUCACCUCCCCCAAGCCUACCAGCAUCCCCCCCUUCUUAGAUGAUGCUGACAGCGGGUACUAGCACCCCCAGGCCAUCGUAAUUAGCAUCUGGCUCUGAGCCCAGUCUUCUGGCAGCACAUUCCUCUCCUCCCUCGCCAGCCAAUCUCCUUCCCCCAGCAUCCCUCCAUCAGCACUGCAGCAGCUGCGGCACCAACAACCUCCGCACCAAGGUCACCACCAGAACCAACAAUGACAAAGCACUCACUUCCUUCUUGGGUGGGCACCGCACCGGUCAAUGCCUCACGAUCGUCUGAGCCAUUCUGGGGUAAUGCAACUGUGAUUCUGAACAAAGAGCGUGUCCUUAGGAGGACGGGUAGAGGUUAACCACCCGUUCUUGGAGGGGCUAGUGAGAGAUGCAUUUAAUCAAUUAAGCUCUGCAGGACAGAAGGAACAGAGCAAAAUGAGCCUGAGAUCCCGGAAGGGUGAGGAAAGGAUCGGGCGAGUUCACGUGUCACUGCGGCUUGGAACCUGGGGUGCUGAGCACCGUGCUGGUGAUGCGGAGGAUGCUGAUGGCAAUGUCAAUAGCACCAUUUACUUUGUGCCAAAUACCAGACCGAGCACUUGCCAAGCAUUUCUGCAUUUAAUCCUCGCAUCUACCGUGUGGAGUAACCGGCGGCAGCUACUGACGGGCUUCCCUGGUGGCUCAGCAGUAGAGAAUCCACCUGCCAACACAGAAGACGUGGAUUCAAUCCCUGGGUUAGGAAGAUCCCCUGGAGAAGGAAAUGGCAACCUAUUCCAGUAUUCUUGCCUGGGAAAUACCGUGGACAGAAGAGCCU